rnacentral:rRNA from 1 species
AAACGACUCUCGGCAACGGAUAUCUCGGCUCUCGCAUCGAUGAAGAACGUAGCGAAAUGCGAUACUUGGUGUGAAUUGCAGAAUCCCGUGAACCAUCGAGUCUUUGAACGCAAGUUGCGCCCCAAGCCUUUUGGCCGAGGGCACGUCUGCCUGGGUGUCACA